rnacentral:rRNA from 1 species
UACAGAGGUCCCAAGCGUUGUUCGGAUUCAUUGGGCGUAAAGGGUGUGUAGGCGGAUCGUUAAGUGCCUUGUGAAAUCCCACGGCUCAACCGUGGAACUGCUUGGCAUACUGGCGGUCUUGAGCAACCUAGGGGCGAGCGGAACAAAUGGUGGAGCGGUGAAAUGCGUAGAUAUCAUUUGGAACGCCAAUAGUGAAAACAGCUCGCUGGGGGUUUGCUGACGCUGAGACACGAAAGCCAGGGGAGCAAACGGG